rnacentral:rRNA from 1 species
GACGAACGCUGGCGGCGUGCCUAAUACAUGCAAGUCGAGCGGAAGUUGGAGAGCUUGCUCUUCAACUUUAGCGGCGGACGGGUGAGUAACACGUGGGCAACCUGCCCUGCAGAUCGGGAUAACUCCGGGAAACCGGUGCUAAUACCGAAUAGUUUUCGCCACCUCCUGGUGGCGUACGGAAAGACGGUUUCGGCUGUCACUGCAGGAUGGGCCCGCGGCGCAUUAGCUAGUUGGUGGGGUAACGGCCCACCAAGGCGACGAUGCGUAGCCGACCUGAGAGGGUGGUCGGCCACACUGGGACUGAGACACGGCGCAGACUCCUACGGGAGGCAGCAGUAGGGAAUCUUCCGCAAUGGACGAAAGUCUGACGGAGCAACGCCGCGUGAGUGACGAAGGUUUUCGGAUCGUAAAACUCUGUUGUGAGGGAAGAACAAGUACCAACUAACUACUGGUACCUUGACGGUACCUCACCAGAAAGCCACGGCUAACUACGUGCCAUCCGCCGCAGUAA